UUGAUAAAAUAAUAUACGAAGGCGGCGAUCUGGCGGAAACGUUAGUAAGCCGGGAAAAAUGCUUAGCGGUAUUUUGUCUGCCGCUACGUUUUGAGUUCAAAUUCCGCCGAGGUCGACUUUGCCUUUCAUCCUUUCGGGGUCGAUUAAAUAAGUACCAGUUAUGCACUGGGGCCG